rnacentral:tRNA from 1 species
GCACUAUUGGUGUAGUGGUAACAUGUUCGCCUUCCAAGCGAUCGCCCAGGGUUCGAUUCCCUGAUAGUGCA